GGGCGUGGGCUUGUAGGCUAGGGGGAGUGGGCUUGUAGGCUAGGGGGCCUGCGCCUUUAAGGGGCGGGGUUGCGCCUGCUGUGGCGGAAGCGGAUUUGCUGGGAGGAGUCCCCGGAAGUGAUGCACGGAGAAGCCCACGUGUGCGGUUCCACUCCACAUGGCUGUGCUCCUGAAGAGGUUGUUGCAUCCCCGGAGGCCCCUGGAGGCCUUGGGCCGCCCCCUGGGACGGCGCGAGGCCAGCCUGGGCACUCAUGCCGGGCCUGCGGUGCGAGUGCGGUUCGCCCCCAGCCCCACAGGCUUUUUGCACCUUGGUGGCCUCCGCACUGCCUUGUACAACUACGUCUUUGCCAAGAAGCACGGAGGGAACUUCAUCCUGAGGCUGGAGGACACGGAUCAGACCCGCCUUGUGCCUGGGGCAGCGGAGAAUAUAGAGGACAUGCUGGAGUGGGCAGGCAUCCCCCCUGAUGAGAGCCCCCGCCGGGGAGGUCCUGCAGGGCCCUACCUGCAGUCUCAGCGACUUGCACUCUACGCCCAGGCCACCGAAGCUCUGCUGAAGAGCGGCGCUGCAUACCCGUGUUUCUGCUCACCCCAGCGGCUGGAGCUCCUGAAGAGGGAGGCCCUAAGGAACCAUCAGACACCCCGGUAUGACAAUCGGUGCCGGAGCCUGAGCGAGGCGCAGGUGGCCCAGAAGCUGGCCAAAGACCCCAAGCCUCCCAUCCGCUUCCACCUGGAGAGGGAGGCGCCUGCCUUCCAGGACUUGGUGUACGGCUGGAAUCGGCAUGAGGUGGCCAGUGUGGAGGGGGACCCAGUCAUCCUGAAGAGCGACGGCUUCCCCACCUACCACCUGGCCUGUGUGGUGGACGACCACCACAUGGGCAUCAGCCACGUGCUGCGGGGCUCCGAGUGGCUGGUCUCCACCUCCAAGCAUCUGCUCCUCUACCAGGCCCUGGGCUGGCAGCCCCCGCACUUUGCCCACCUGCCCCUGCUCCUCAACAGGGAUGGCAGCAAACUGUCCAAGAGGCAAGGGGACAUCUUCCUGGAGCAUUUUGCUGCCGCCGGCUUCCUGCCAGAUGCCUUGCUCGAUAUCAUCACCAGCUGCGGCUCAGGGUUUGCAGAGAACCAGAUGGGCAGGACCUUGCCAGAGCUGAUCUCACAGUUUGACCUGACCCGGGUCACCUGCCACUCAGCCCUGCUGGACCUGGAGAAGCUCCCAGAAUUCAACAGGCUGCACCUCCGCCGGCUGGUGAGCGAUGAGACCCAGAGACGCCAGCUGGUGGGGAAGCUACAGGCUCUCGUGGAGGAGGCAUUCGGGAGCCAGCUGCAAGACAGGAAUGUGCUGGACGCAGCCUACGUGGAGAGGAUCAUCCUGCUGAGACAGGGUCACAUUUGCCACCUGCAGGAUUUGGUCUCCCCAGCGCACUCCUACCUGUGGACUCGCCCUGCUGUGAGUCGAGCGCAGCUGGGCGCCAUCUCGGAGAAGGUGGACAUCAUUGCCAAGCGUGUGCUGGGGCUUUUAGAAGGACCCGGUAUGAGUUUAACUCAGGACAUGCUGAACGGAGAACUGAAGAAGCUGUCAGAAGGUCUGGAAGGCACCAAACACAGUAACGUGAUGAAGCUCCUCCGAGUGGCCCUCAGUGGACAGCUGCAAGGACCUCCUGUAGCUGAGAUGAUGUUGUCCUUGGGACCAAAGGAAGUGCGGGAACGAAUACAGAAGGUGCUUUCCAGCUAGAGAGAAGGUGUGCAGGACAGCAGAGGUGGCCACAGGAACUGUUCUUGUGGGACCUGCCCUCAGAGGGGAGGAGCAGGAGGCCUGGGGCCCAUCGGAAGCUUGUGGAAGGAACCAAGAAUGGACACACAACCUCUGGGUGCACAGUUCUCCCCCGGUCCUUGGACUGGAGACCUCUACCCUGCCUGCUCUGCAUCUUUUUCUUCAUAUUUGCCUCCUUCUUCCACCCAUCAUUUGUAAAUCACUGUCUGUGGGUUUCUGAAAUGAGAUGUUCUUCUUGGGGUGAAUAGGAAUAGCUGAAGUGGAAGGAGGAUGGUGGCCGGCUACAAAGACCCCUACACAGCUACUGGGCUUCCCCUUUGUAGCCCCCAGUCAUCGCUGCCUCCUGGCAUUCACACUGAAUAGGGCUGACUUCUGUGUGGUGUGUCAUGGCUUCCAUGUUGUUCUCUUGGAUCCCUUACUCUGUGGGAAGCCAGCUUCCACACUGUGAAGACAGUCAGAGAGACAAGGAUCGGAGGCCUUUGGACAACAGCCGUAUGAAUGGACCAUCUUGGGAGUCAGUCUUCCAGCCCCAGUCAAGCCUUCAGAUGACUGCAAUGCUGGCUGACAUUUGACUGCAGCGUUCUUUUUUUUUUUUUUUUAAUUGGAGUGUAGUUGCUUUACAAUGUUAUGUUUGUUUCUGCUGUACAGCAAAGUGAAUCAGCCACACGUAUACAUAUAUUCCCCUCUUCCUUGGAUUUCCUUCCCAUUUAGGUCACCACAGAGCAUUGAGUAUAGAGUUCCCUGUACUAUACAGUAGGUUUUCGUUAGUUAUCUGGUUUAUACAUAGUAGUGUGUAUGUGUCAAUCCCAAUCUCCCAAUCCAUCUCACCCCCUCAUCCCCCUUAGUAUCUAUACGUUUGUUCUCUAUGUCUCUGUUUCUGCUUUGCAAAUAAGUUCAUCUGUACCAUUUUUCUAGAUUCCACAUACGUGUUAAUAUACGAUAUUUGUUUUUCUCUUUCUGACUUACUUCACUCUGUAUGAAAGUCUCUAGGAACAUCCUCGUCUCUGCAAAUGGCACAAUUUCGUUCCGUUUUAUGGCUGAGUAACAUUCCAUUGUAUAUAUGUACCACAUCUUCUUUAGCCAUUCCUCUGUUGAUGGACAUUUAGGUUGGUUCCAUGUCCUGGCUAUUGUAAAUAGUGCUGACUGCAGCCUUCUUGAAAGAUCCUGAGCCAGAACCACUAAGCAAAGUUGCUCCUGAAUUUCAGACAUACAGUUAUGAGAUAAUAAAUAUUUAUUGUUUAAAGCCACUUA